GCCCCCGUGGCGGAAUAUGGUAUACGCGACAGACUCAAAAUCUGUUUUUCGCAAGAAAUUGUUCGUUCGAGUCGAACCGGGGGCA
rnacentral:tRNA from 1 species